CCUUGAGUCCCUUGGUUCCCACUUUUACUGUCUCUGUGUCUUACUUUAUGUUAACUUUUUUCCUUAAGUUCCACAGCACCCGUUCUCCAGCCCCAUCCUGCUGAGCUGGUCUCAGCAAGUGGCGCCCAAUGUGGGGUGGGCAAAUAGGCAGGCACAAGGAACAAAGACCAUGAUGACAGUGGAAUUCUUAUUCACUGGAAGUGCUGUGGAGCCCUGAGAAGAAGGGAGGAAUUUUCCAUGGCCACGCUAAAAAAAUACUGCGGAUACGUUCCCUCUCUCAGGAGUGAGGUGAUGAGGACUCAUCAAGCUUCUACUUCUAGGAUUGCAAAGAAAAUGAGCAUUAUCCCUGAACACCAUCUAUCAUCCAUUCAACAGGGGAUAUUACAGUCUCGAAGGGAAGGCUGGGUAUGUGGCUAAUCAAUCUAAAAUUAUAGAAAUGCCUGGACUUUCCACCCAACAGGCUGAACUAACUGCUGUAAUCCAUGCCUUAAGGGAUUAUCUUGAGCCUAUCAAUAUUCUUUAUUCUUUCUAACUUGGUAUAUGUAGUUCAUACAGCCAAAAUGAUUGAAACUGCUACAAUUAAACAAAAUUUACCUAUCUUGUUA